UUGAAAGGGAAACGAUUGAAGUCAGUCGUACCAGCGGGAAAUCANCCUUUCGAGUGGGGGUUUUGGAGUUUUGAAGAGUGUCAAAACCUUUGAGAUUUCAAAAUAUUCGCUCUUUUGGUGUACUUUCUCGUGGGUAGGUUAACAUCGAUUUUGAUCAUCAUAAAAAGAUUGGAGGAAUGUAGCUUCGAUCUUGUAUUGAAGUGUUAUAGCCUUUGGUAAAUGUGAUGAUUAGGAUCGAGGAUUGCAACGAAUACCCUUUUGGGCUAUCCGCCUGAUCUCUGAUACGUGGCCUUGGUAUCGAAAGCGUGCUUAUGGUAUUAANNUAUUACGGUCAAAAGGUUAGAACGGAUCNCAUUCGUUAAGGAUGUUGACGUA
rnacentral:rRNA from 1 species